rnacentral:lncRNA from 1 species
GCCGGCAGCGCGAGGCCUCCGGUGCACAGUGCGAGGAGGGAGGCUCCGUGUGCGUCCUGAGAGUUCUGUGUUGCAACGGGGCAGUGUGGGGCCUCUCCCAAGGGCACCGUCGCCGUUCGGAUUGUGCUCUGGUGGCGGGUGGAGCACGGCUGCCCCACCCCUCCUGGAGCUGCAGCCUGAGAACCCCUAGGGAGGGGAGCCAAGGAUGUGGCAGCCCCUGGAUCCGAAACCCCUUCCUUCUCCAUCCCAGCCCAAGUUGGGAUUGUGGAGCAGGAGGAGCACCGGAACCCAAGGAGAGCCUGGAGUUAACAACCCAGUCUUCCCGGCACACCCAGGCCAGCUGUGACCCCAGAAACGAUGGCGCUCCCGGCCUCAUUCCCUGCUGCGGCAGAGUAGCUCAGAGGUCGUGACCCCAUGAGGACCCCGUGCCCAGGCCCCCACCUCACCCUCUGGAAGCUGCGGUCGUCCCUGGGCGUGCUUUUUACUCUCAAGGCCCUGACAGCAACGGGAGGGAGCAGGACUCAGCGCCAGCGCCAGCCUCCACGCACUUCACCCCAGUUCGUCCCUGAAGCCAGAACUGGGGCCAACGCUUCUCUGUCCUGCCCGCGCCUGCUCCCAGUCACUGUCCCACCCAGCGGGCUGGGCCUGCACCGGCCUCCUGCUUUCCACUAUCGAUUCCUGUGUUGCAAGUCAGGUCCCCGCUGGUCCUGGCCACCCACUGCCUUGGGACAGAACCUGGGGCUCCACCGGGCUCCCCUCCCCGCCCUCUGCCCCGCGUUCUUCCCGGGACCGGCCCCUCUGUGCAGUCCCCUGACCACCCCAGAGGCUCCGGUUCCAUCCAGCGCAAUUCCCAGUGCAGCCAGGUCUCUCGCCUCGCCAGCCGGCGGAGGACACCAGCAGGAAGCCUGGGGGAGAGGACGGGGCCCCAGCCCAGGACUGAGAGCAGCCGCCGGCCCCGCCCCGCCCUAAAGUCCACCCAGGGGACACGGUGGGGCCUAGAGACAGCCGGUCCAGGCUUACUUCCUGGGACCCUCUUCCUGCGCUCACGCGGGCUGGACGUCCUGCUCUCCCGCCCCGGGCAGGCCCGGCAGCAGCUGCUCCUCUCCCGACGGGGUGGGGCUGCAGGGCACAGGCUGGAGGCACGCAGGAGGAAGGUCCCGGCUAGCUCGCACCUCCCACUCUGGCCUGGACCGGGAACUCCCUGGGUCAGCGCCCGGCCGAU